UAACGAAUCUUCCGCAAUGGGAGAAAGCCUGACGGAGCAAUGCCGCGUGUGGGAUGAAGCGCCUUCGGCGUGUAAACCACUGUCAGGGAAUGGAACCAAUGAUUAUUCCCAAAGGAAGUGGCGACUAACUCUGUGCCAGCAGUCGCGGUAAUACAGAGGCCACAAGCGUUAGUCGGAAUCACUGGGCUUAAAGGGUGCGUAGGCGGAUUAUUAAGUCAGGGGUGAAAUCCCGGGGCUCAACCUCGGAACUGCCUCUGAUACUGAUAGUCUCGAGUCCGGAAGAGGUGGGUGGAAUUCCUAGUGUAGAGGUGAAAUUCGUAGAUAUUAGGAAGAACACCGGUGGCGAAGGCGGCCCACUGGUCCGGUACUGACGCUGAGGUGCGAAAGCG
rnacentral:rRNA from 1 species